AGUGAACGCUGGCGGUAGGCCUAACACAUGCAAGUCGAACGGCAGCACAGUAAGAGCUUGCUCUUACGGGUGGCGAGUGGCGGACGGGUGAGGAAUACAUCGGAAUCUACUUUUUCGUGGGGGAUAACGUAGGGAAACUUACGCUAAUACCGCAUACGACCUACGGGUGAAAGCAGGGGAUCUUCGGACCUUGCGCGAUUGAAUGAGCCGAUGUCGGAUUAGCUGGUUGGCGGGGUAAAGGCCCACCAAGGCGACGAUCCGUAGCUGGUCUGAGAGGAUGAUCAGGCACACUGGAACUGAGACAGGGUCCAGACUCCUACGGGAGGCAGCAGUGGGGAAUAUUGGACAAAGGGCGCAAGCCUGAUACAGCCAUACCGCGUGGGUGAAGAGGGACUUCGGGUUGUAAAGCCCUUUUGUUGGGAAAGAAAAGCAGCAGGUUAAUACCCCGCUGUUCUGACGGUACCCAAAGAAUAAGCACCGGCUAACUUCGUG
rnacentral:rRNA from 1 species